CGGGGUAGAGUAACGCGUGAGGAACCUGCCUCAAAGAGGGGGACAACAGUUGGAAACGACUGCUAAUACCGCAUAAGCCCACAGCUCGGCAUCGAGCAGAGGGAAAAGGAGUGAUCCGCUUUGAGAUGGCCUCGCGUCCGAUUAGCUAGUUGGUGAGGUAACGGCCCACCAAGGCGACGAUCGGUAGCCGGACUGAGAGGUUGAACGGCCACAUUGGGACUGAGACACGGCCCAG
rnacentral:rRNA from 1 species